GACAGAGGGUGCAAACGUUGUUCGGAAUUACUGGGCGUAAAGCGCACGCAGGCGGUUCGCCAAGUUUGGAGUGACAGUUGUCGGCUCAACCGACAAAGGACUUCAAAAACUGGUGAACUUGAGGACGAGAGAGGAACAUGGAACUCCAGGUGUAGUAGUGAAAUGCGUAGAUAUCUGGAAGAACACCAAUGGCGAAGGCAAUGUUCUGGCUCGUUUCUGACGCUCAGGUGCGAAAGCCAGGGGAGCGAACGGG
rnacentral:rRNA from 1 species